rnacentral:rRNA from 1 species
UAGAGUUUGAUCCUGGCUCAGGAUGAACGCUAGCGACAGGCUUAACACAUGCAAGUCGAGGGGCAGCGGUGGUGAAGGCUUGCCUUUACCAGCCGGCGACCGGCGCACGGGUGAGUAACACGUAUGCAACCUGCCUGCCACAGCCGGAUAAUCGGGAGAAAUUCCGUCUAAUACGGCAUAAUGCAUCGACGGGACAUCCUGUUGGUGCCAAAGGUUGAUUCCGGUGGCGGAUGGGCAUGCGUCGCAUUAGUUAGUUGGCGGUGUAACGGACCACCAAGACGACGAUGCGUAGGGGUUCUGAGAGGAAGGUCCCCCACACUGGUACUGAGACACGGACCAGACUCCUACGGGAGGCAGCAGUGAGGAAUAUUGGUCAAUGGGCGGGAGCCUGAACCAGCCAAGUCGCGUGAGGGAUGACGGCCCUAUGGGUUGUAAACCUCUUUUGCCGGGGAGCAAAGUGCCGCACGUGUGCGGUUUGGAGAGUACCCGGAGAAAAAGCAUCGGCUAACUCCGUGCCAGCAGCCGCGGUAAUACGGAGGAUGCGAGCGUUAUCCGGAUUUAUUGGGUUUAAAGGGUGCGUAGGCGGACGCUUAAGUCAGCGGUAAAAUUGCGGGGCUCAACCUCGUCGAGCCGUUGAAACUGGGUGCCUUGAGUGGGCGAGAAGUACGCGGAAUGCGUGGUGUAGCGGUGAAAUGCAUAGAUAUCACGCAGAACUCCGAUUGCGAAGGCAGCGUACCGGCGCCCAACUGACGCUGAAGCACGAAGGCGUGGGUAUCGAACAGGAUUAGAUACCCUGGUAGUCCACGCAGUAAACGAUGAAUGAUAGUUGUCCGGGGCGAUUGAGUUCUGGGUGACACAGCGAAAGCGUUAAGCAUUCCACCUGGGGAGUACGCCGGCAACGGUGAAACUCAAAGGAAUUGACGGGGGCCCGCACAAGCGGAGGAACAUGUGGUUUAAUUCGAUGAUACGCGAGGAACCUUACCCGGGCUCAAACGCAGGAGGGAUGUUUUUGAAAGGAGGCAGCCAGCAAUGGUCUCCUGCGAGGUGCUGCAUGGUUGUCGUCAGCUCGUGCCGUGAGGUGUCGGCUUAAGUGCCAUAACGAGCGCAACCCCUACCUACAGUUGCCAUCGCGUGAUGGCGGGCACUCUGUGGGGACUGCCUGCGCAAGCAGUGAGGAAGGCGGGGAUGACGUCAAAUCAGCACGGCCCUUACGUCCGGGGCGACACACGUGUUACAAUGGCAGGUACAGCGGGAAGCCACCCAGCGACGGGGCGCGGAACCCGAAAACCUGUCUCAGUUCGGAUUGGAGUCUGCAACCCGACUCCAUGAAGCUGGAUUCGCUAGUAAUCGCGCAUCAGCCACGGCGCGGUGAAUACGUUCCCGGGCCUUGCACACACCGCCCGUCAAG